UACAGAGGGUGCAAGCGUUGUUCGGAAUUAUUGGGCGUAAAGCGCGUGUAGGCGGCUUUGCAAGUCGGGUGUGAAAUCCCUCAGCUUAACUGGGGAACUGCGUCCGAUACUGGAUGGCUUGGAUUUGGGAGAGGGAUGCGGAAUUCCAGGUGUAGCGGUGAAAUGCGUAGAUAUCUGGAGGAACACCGGUGGCGAAGGCGAGUCUCUGGACAAUUCCUGACGCUGAGGCACGAAAGCCAGGGGAGCAAACGGAGU
rnacentral:rRNA from 1 species